AACGUAGGCGGCGAGCGUUAUCCGGAUUUACUGGGUGUAAAGCGCGUGCAGGCGGUUCUGCAAGUGGGACGUGAAAGCGCCCGGCUCAACCGGGCGAGGCCGUUCCGAACUGCGGGACUGGAGGCAGGUAGAGGCGUGUGGAAUUCCGGGUGUAGUGGUGAAAUGCGUAGAGAUCAGGAGGAACAUCCGUGGCGAAGGCGACUGCCUGGGCCAACACUGACACUGAGGCACGAAAGCGUGGGGAGCAAAC
rnacentral:rRNA from 1 species